rnacentral:rRNA from 1 species
CCUACGGGAGGCAGCAGUGGGGAAUAUUGGGCAAUGGACGCAAGUCUGACCCAGCAACGCCGCGUGAAGGAAGAAGGCUUUCGGGUGGUAAACGUCUUGUAAGGGGGAAGAGCAGAAGACGGUACACCUGGAAUAAGCCACGGCUAACUACGGGCCAGCAGCCGCGGUAAUACGUAGGUGGCAAGCGUUGUCCGGAUUUACUGGGGGUAAAGGGCGUGCAGCCGGCGAGACCAGUCAGAUGUGAAAUCCACGGGCUCAACCCGUGAACUGCAUUUGAAACUGGUUCCCUUGAGUGUCGGAGAGGUCAUCGGCAUUCCUAGUGUAGCGGUUACAUGCGUCGAUAUUCGG